rnacentral:rRNA from 1 species
CAAUGGGGCGGCUACCAUGCAGUCGAGCGGAGAUGAGGUGCUUGCACCUUAUCUUAGCGGCGGACGGGUGAGUAAUGCUUAGGAAUCUGCCUAUUAGUGGGGGACAACAUUCCGAAAGGAAUGCUAAUACCGCAUACGUCCUACGGGAGAAAGCAGGGGAUCUUCGGACCUUGCGCUAAUAGAUGAGCCUAAGUCGGAUUAGCUAGUUGGUGGGGUAAAGGCCUACCAAGGCGACGAUCUGUAGCGGGUCUGAGAGGAUGAUCCGCCACACUGGGACUGAGACACGGCCCAGACUCCUACGGGAGGCAGCAGUGGGGAAUAUUGGACAAUGGGGGGAACCCUGAUCCAGCCAUGCCGCGUGUGUGAAGAAGGCCUUAUGGUUGUAAAGCACUUUAAGCGAGGAGGAGGCUACUGAGACUAAUACUCUUGGAUAGUGGACGUUACUCGCAGAAUAAGCACCGGCUAACUCUGUGCCAGCAGCCGCGGUAAUACAGAGGGUGCGAGCGUUAAUCGGAUUUACUGGGCGUAAAGCGUGCGUAGGCGGCUUUUUAAGUCGGAUGUGAAAUCCCCGAGCUUAACUUGGGAAUUGCAUUCGAUACUGGGAAGCUAGAGUAUGGGAGAGGAUGGUAGAAUUCCAGGUGUAGCGGUGAAAUGCGUAGAGAUCUGGAGGAAUACCGAUGGCGAAGGCAGCCAUCUGGCCUAAUACUGACGCUGAGGUACGAAAGCAUGGGGAGCAAACAGGAUUAGAUACCCUGGUAGUCCAUGCCGUAAACGAUGUCUACUAGCCGUUGGGGCCUUUGAGGCUUUAGUGGCGCAGCUAACGCGAUAAGUAGACCGCCUGGGGGAG